AACGAACGCUGGCGGCAUGCCUAAUACAUGCAAGUCGAACGAACCCUUCCUAACUACUUGCCCUCGGUUACGUAACGUGUCGAACGGUUCACUAACGCUCGGAUUACCUCCCCCAUAGUGGUGCUAAUCCCUCGUAAUCGCCUCCUACCACCGCUUUAUCGCGUUUGUCGGAUCCUGCGUUGGAUUAGCUUGUGGCUAGGUAAAACGCCUACCAAGGCGACGAUGCAUAGAUCGUCUGAGAGGAUGAGCAGCCACACUGGGACGGGGACACGGCCCGGACUCUUACGGGAGGCAGCAGAGGGGAAUAGUGGACAAUGGGCGAAAGGCUGAUCCAGCAAGGCCGCGAGAGUGAUGAAGGCCUUAGGGUUGUAAAGCUCUUUUACCCGGGAUGAUAAUGACAGUACCGGGAGAAAAAGCUCCGGCUAACUCCGUG
rnacentral:rRNA from 1 species